GGCCGCUUGAGCCGAGCGGUAUGAUUCUUGCUUCCACCUCCAGAGGUCGCCGGUUCGAUUCCCGACGCGCCG